rnacentral:rRNA from 1 species
GACGAACGCUGGCGGCGUGCUUAACACAUGCAAGUCGAACGAAGUGGCGAACGUGUGAGUAACGCGUAAUCAACCUGCCCUUCAGAGGGGGAUAACAGUUGGAAACGACUGCUAAUACCGCAUACUCAAGGAGGGGAUUGAGUAGGCGUAGCUAGUCGGAGGGGUAACGGCCCACCAAGGCGAUGAUCAGUAGCCGGUCUGAGAGGAUGAACGGCCACAUGGGGACUGGGACACGGCCCAGACUCCGACGGGAGGCAGCAGUGGGGAAUCUUCCGCAAUGGACGAAAGUCUGACGGAGCAACGCCGCGUGAGUGAUGACGGCCUUCGGGUGGGAAAGCUCUGUUAAUCGGGACGCGGUACCGGAAGAGAAAGCCACGGCUAACUACGUGCCAGCAGCCGCGGGAAUAC